GAGAGAGCGCGAGAGAGAGAGAGAGAGGACAGCCUGAAUGAAAGCUAUAAAUAGUCAGAAGCCUUGCAGCUGUUGGGUUUUAUCUGAAGAGGCUGACAGUCCUGAUAUCCGGGGCAGGAGAGCCGAGUGCCUCACACUGACACAGAGCAGGUGUGGUGAGACAGACGGCAAAACAAGGCUGAAGAAAGGGAAACAAUGCUUCUAUGUCGGGACAAAAAGACGAACAAAACGGAUGGCUCUGUUCCUAAAACACAGUGCUUCUCCGUCAGAGAAGUUUCCAAGUAAAUGUCCAAGCGUUCCAAGUGUCCAAUCAAUUCCCUGAAGAACCCGUCCAUCCAUUCAUUUUCUGUACCGCUCAUCCGAUACAGGGUUGCAGGGAGCCUGGAUCCCAGGGAACUCGGGGCACACUCUGGGUGGGGUGCCAACCCAUCACAGGUCACAACCACACACAAUGGAGCACAUGCCAGCACGUCUUUGGACUGGGAGAGGAGACCGAGGUACCCGGAGGAAGCGUGAAGGUGGGAAUAGAACCUCCAACCCUGGAGAUGCGAGGCAAAUGUGCUAACUUCUAAGCCACCAUGACCCCCCCAAACAAGAAGAACCUUUUUCCUAAAAAUGUAUGAUUGUGAACGAUUUCAUUUUGCUACCAUUAAAGAGAAUUCUCACGA